GCUGUUCGGGUCUGUGGUUGCAAGUCCAGGCCAGGUACGGGCAAAAGGAUCCACGUAAGCUGUUCCGCGGAGUUCGGGCAGUGAUCAUGGCGUACCUUAGGAGUAAGUCCUCCGCAAAGCGGGCAAAGGCAAGUGUGGGGUCAAAGACCAGGUCAGCCGGACAGC
rnacentral:ncRNA from 1 species